ACUGCCUGAUGGAGGGGGAUAACUACUGGAAACGGUGGCUAAUACCGCAUAACGUCGCAAGACCAAAGAGGGGGACCUUCGGGCCUCUUGCCAUCAGAUGUGCCCAGAUGGGAUUAGCUUGUUGGUGAGGUAACGGCUCACCAAGGCGACGAUCCCUAGCUGGUCUGAGAGGAUGACCAGCCACACUGGAACUGAGACACGGUCCAGACUCCUACGGGAGGCAGCAGUGGGGAAUAUUGCACAAUGGGCGCAAGCCUGAUGCAGCCAUGCCGCGUGUAUGAAGAAGGCCUUCGGGUUGUAAAGUACUUUCAGCGGGGAGGAAGGUGUUGUGGUUAAUAACCGCAGCAAUUGACGUUACCCGCAGAAGAAGCACCGGCUAACUCCGUGCCAGCAGCCGCGGUAAUACGGAGGGUGCAAGCGUUAAUCGGAAUUACUGGGCGUAAAGCGCACGCAGGCGGUCUGUCAAGUCGGAUGUGAAAUCCCCGGGCUCAACCUGGGAACUGCAUUCGAAACUGGCAGGCUUGAGUCUUGUAGAGGGGGGUAGAAUUCCAGGUGUAGCGGUGAAAUGCGUAGAGAUCUGGAGGAAUACCGGUGGCGAAGGCGGCCCCCUGGACAAAGACUGACGCUCAGGUGCGAAAGCGUGGGGAGCAAACAGGAUUAGAUACCCUGGUAGUCCACGCCGUAAACGAUGUCUACUUGGAGGUUGUGCCCUUGAGGCGUGGCUUCCGGAGCUAACGCGUUAAGUAGACCGCCUGGGGAGUACGGCCGCAAGGUUAAAACUCAAAUGAAUUGACGGGGGCCCGCACAAGCGGUGGAGCAUGUGGUUUAAUUCGAUGCAACGCGAAGAACCUUACCUGGUCUUGACAUCCACAGAACUUUCCAGAGAUGGAUUGGUGCCUUCGGGAACUGUGAGACAGGUGCUGCAUGGCUGUCGUCAGCUCGUGUUGUGAAAUGUUGGGUUAAGUCCCGCAACGAGCGCAACCCUUAUCCUUUGUUGCCAGCGGUCCGGCCGGGAACUCAAAGGAGACUGCCAGUGAUAAACUGGAGGAAGGUGGGGAUGACGUCAAGUCAUCAUGGCCCUUACGACCAGGGCUACACACGUGCUACAAUGGCGCAUACAAAGAGAAGCGACCUCGCGAGAGCAAGCGGACCUCAUAAAGUGCGUCGUAGUCCGGAUUGGAGUCUGCAACUCGACUCCAUGAAGUCGGAAUCGCUAGUAAUCGUGGAUCAGAAUGCCACGGUGAAUACGUUCCCGGGCCUUGUACACACCGCCCGUCACACCAUGGGAGUGGGUUGCAAAAGAAGUAGGUAGCUUAACCUUCGGGAGGGCGCUUACCACUUUGUGAUUCAUGACUGGGGUGAAGUCGUAACAAGGUAACCGUAGGGGAACCUGC
rnacentral:rRNA from 1 species